rnacentral:tRNA from 1 species
GUCUAGGUAGCUCAGUGGUAGAGCAAAGGACUGAAAAUCCUUGGGUCAGAGGUUCAAAUCCCCUUCUAGACA